rnacentral:rRNA from 1 species
GUAAGGAAUAUUGGGCAAUGGAGGCAACUCUGACCCAGCCAUGCCGCGUGGAGGAUGAAGGCCCUCUGGGUUGUAAACUUCUUUUAUAUGGGACGAAAAAGGGCCUUUCCAGGUCAACUGACGGUACCAUAUGAAUAAGCACCGGCUAACUCCGUGCCAGCAGCCGCGGUAAUACGGAGGGUGCAAGCGUUAUCCGGAUUCACUGGGUUUAAAGGGUGCGUAGGUGGGUUGGUAAGUCAGUGGUGAAAUCUCCGAGCUUAACUCGGAAACUGCCAUUGAUACUAUCAGUCUUGAAUAUUGUGGAGGUUAGCGGAAUAUGUCAUGUAGCGGUGAAAUGCUUAGAUAUGACAUAGAACACCAAUUGCGAAGGCAGCUGGCUACACAUAUAUUGACACUGAGGCACGAAAGCGUGGGGAUCAAACAGGAUUAGAUACCCGGGUAGUCC